rnacentral:rRNA from 1 species
AUUGAACGCUGGCGGCAUGCCUUACACAUGCAAGUCGGACGAGUGGCGGACGGGUGAGUAACGCCUCGGAAAGUGCCUGAUGGAGGGGGAUAACUACUCGAAAGGACAGCUAAUACCGCAUACUAUCCGAGCGGCCCAUUUCGGAUUAGCUGGUUGGUGGGGUAACGGCUCACCAAGGCGACGAUCCCUAGCGGGUCUGAGAGGAUGACCCGCCACACUGGGACUGAGACACGGUCCAGACUCCUACGGGAGGCAGCAGUGGGGAAUUUUGGACAAUGGGCGCAAGCCUGAUGCAGCCAUGCCGCGUGUCUGAAGAAGGCCUUCGGGUUGUAAAGGACUUUUAUCGGGGAGGCGGUACCCGAAGAAUAAGCACCGGCUAACUCCGUGCCAGCAGCCGCGGUAAUAC